rnacentral:misc_RNA from 1 species
CCUUAAAGAACCUGCCUUUGCAGUGCUCACACAGAUUGUCUGAUGAAAAACAGCAGUAAAAACCUCUACAGGCUUGUAGCUCAGGUGGUUAGAGCGCACCCCUGAUAAGGGUGAGGUCGGUGGUUCAAGUCCACUCAGGCCUACCAAAUUUGCGAAGCAAAUUUGAAGAGGUUGUAAACGAUGGGGCUAUAGCUCAGCUGGGAGAGCGCCUGCUUUGCACGCAGGAGGUCUGCGGUUCGAUCCCGCAUAGCUCCACCAUCUUUACUGCGAACACAAGAAAACUUCAGAGUGAACCUGAAAAGGUGCACUGCGAAGUUUUGCUCUUUAAAAAUCUGGAUCAAGCUGAAAAUUGAAACGACACACUGUUUAAGUGUGUUCGAGUCUCUCAAAUUUUCGCAAUCAGAAGUGAAACAUCUUCGGGUUGUGA